rnacentral:rRNA from 1 species
AGAGUUUGAUCCUGGCUCAGAGUGAACGCUGGCGGCAGGCCUAACACAUGCAAGUCGAACGGCAGCACAGCAGUAGCAAUACUGUGGGUGGCGAGUGGCGGACGGGUGAGGAAUGCGUCGGAAUCUGCCUUUUUGUGGGGGAUAACGUAGGGAAACUUACGCUAAUACCGCAUACGACCUACGGGUGAAAGUGGGGGACCUUCGGGCCUCACGCAGAAAGAUGAGCCGACGCCGGAUUAGCUAGUUGGCGGGGUAAAGGCCCACCAAGGCGACGAUCCGUGGCUGGUCUGAGAGGAUGAUCAGCCACACUGGGACUGAGACACGGCCCAGACUCCUACGGGAGGCAGCAGUGGGGAAUAUUGGACAAUGGGCGCAAGCCUGAUCCAGCCAUGCCGCGUGUGUGAAGAAGGCCUUCGGGUUGUAAAGCACUUUUGUCCGGAAAGAAAAGCUUCGGGUUAAUAACCUGGAGUCAUGACGGUACCG